rnacentral:lncRNA from 1 species
UGCUGCCCACUGACCUCAGCCGCUUGGUUUGGGGGGCAGAGUUUAUUUAGGAGUGACAAUCUGAGCACGCCCACGUUAUGUGAUGUUGCACACAGGGUCUAUGCUUGUACUUGAUCCUCAGGUUACCAGGUUCCUCUUAAGUGCAUGCAGUUUAACAUGAACUUACGUGCUUUGGACUCGCAGAGUAGAAACUUCCUAUUGGAUUACCAUUUUUCUUAUUAAAUACUUUAAAGCACUCUCUGUGACUUAUGCUACUUGGAAGUUACGUGUAUGUGCUAAGAGUACCUUUACAUAAUGCACUGGAUAUUUUCUUUUACGUUGCCAAGCUUGCUUCUGAGUCCUAAGCUCUCUUGAGGCAGCGAAGGCUUAGUAAAUCCUGGAAAUAAUACUGAUUGAAUGUAGCUUUAGGUGACAGAAAAAAACAGCCAGAGGUUGCUCAGGGCCUUCCCCUGCUUUGGUAACCUGGAUUACAGUCGGUGUUGGGUGCCUGAACCAAUCUUAAAGGGCAUCCCAUGGCAAAACAUUUGCCAUGAUGAGAAGAAGUUCAUAAAAUGGCAAUGAUCUUUAUUUGUAUAGCACUUUUCACCCAGGAGAAAAACAUAGUGCUUCACAAAAUGAUUUUUACAAGCUGCACCAGCACUGAAAAACAAGCUCCUCCAGGAUGAAAUACACCAGCUGCUAAGCAGCAGCACUGCUGCAUGAAUAAAAUAAUAAAGCUAUUUGGAGAGGAGUUAAUGACUGCCACUGAGCAGGUCUGAUCGACAAGCAGUGGUAGGUUUUACUGAAGGUGAUGGGAGUUUGAACUGUUCUGUUUCCAGGAGAACAGAGGAUGCGGUUCAAUAUCCCUUUGCAGAGAGGGAUCUGGUAGCAACAAGCUCUCCCUUGGUAGCAAGAGGCUUCUUGGAUGUUCAGAAUGCAGUUGGAAGACCAGGUGAAAGAAAGAAAGGGGGAGCAGCAUGGGACUGGCACUCUCAGGGACAAGUCAUCCCCCAUUCCUGGGGAGUGGAAAGAUUCUUCAGUGCAGGGAAGAGUGUGCUCCUGACCAGACUUCCAAGAGUAUCUGACCCGUUUCCCAGAGGUCCAGGAGGAGCCCUGCACCAUCUCUCUCUCACCUCACCCAGCAGACUAUGAAAUCGUGAGGCUGUGGAAGUGUGUGUACAGUGGGAUCAGAUCUGGAGCGCAGCCAGCCACCAACACAAAAAUGAGAGGCAAUAUCUGAACCUAUACUUCACAAAAAUAUUUCUGGUCUUGCAAAACACAUGGAGGCACUUACUAUUUUAAAUCUCUGCCUACAGCAAGAGUGUAAGAAAUACAAAUGAAGAUAACAGCUACCACAGACAGCAGCUCUGAUAGGCUCCUUCUGUUCUCAGUAGUAUCCAGAUUGUUUUCUUCAUGCACCAAUCCCAGAAUUCCCAGAAUUCCUCUUUUGGAGAAUCAAAGACGACUUUAGUGGAUUGACUGGAGAGGUGCCUGCCUAAAAUGAACUGGGGUGGAUGGUAGAACCAGAGCAGCCACAGAAGCAUGGAUAUCCCAGAUGAGAAGAUGCCCGUGCCUGUCCCCGUUCAAGUGGUCUGAGGCAUUUCUGUUGUGUAGGUGGGUGUCCAUGUGUAAAUUAAAGACCCAAACCAUGCACUGAAAGGCUUACAGCCCACUGAAACAUGACUAUUAAUCAGAUUAAAGUUAAGCAUAGGAGACACUGAAUAAGUAGUGAGACCCGUGACGUUAGCUGUGGAUACAAGAAAGGGGAAGUGUGAGUAUCAGCUGAUGAUAAAAACAGAAUUAUCAGGACCUGUUGUCUGCAGUCAUUUGGAAGCUCUAAAUUGUGUUCAUGGAUGAAAAGCAGUGUGAAAAAUUCCCUCUUGUUCAUUACUCACAGGGGAGGAAGUUUUGCAAAGAUUGCCAAAACCUACAUUAGAAAACUUGAUGUAC